GAUUAUCUGCCCAUUUGUCGAGUAAUCGACAUUUAGUCCUUGGUUGUAUGCUGGAAAGUCUGAGUAUCCGACGGUACUCGUGGUUCAACUGAAUCGCAGUGAAAAUCCGUUCGGUGCAGAUGAUCAGCAGGAAACCAAAGUAGGCCCUCGGCCUAUGAGUAGGAUCCUCAGAGACUGUACGCCAGGCAUCCAAUCUCGAUUGGAUGAAGAGACAGUCCGAGCUGCAUGGCGACAUGCAGAGGUUGGCAGAAAUGUCCAACCCGCCACGCUGUGUGCACUUUCCCUUCUGGGAAGUGUUUCCAUUCCUUUGGAAACGAGAUGAACGCGUUUCUGCGUGAAGGUAGCAGCCUCUGGUAGUAACAAACUGAGCGAAGUUCCUUGUCGGGUAAGUUCCGACCUGCAUGAAAGGCGUAACGACAGGAGCACUGUCUCAACCACCGACCCGGUGAAAUUGUAGUCGUGGUGAAGAUGCCACGUACCCGCAGUUAGACGGAAAGACCCCGUGAACCUUUACUGUAGGCUGAUAUUGGGCUGAGGUAUGUUUUGUGUAGGAUAGGUGGGAGGCUGUGAUCCGGAAGCGCCAGCUUUCGUGGAGCCGUCCUUGAAAUACCACCCUGGAUAUGCUUUAGUUCUAACGCUGAUCCCGUGAAUCCGGGCAGCGAACAGUGUCAGUUGGGCAGUUUGACUGGGGCGGUCUCCUCCCAAAGAGUAACGGAGGAGUGCAAAGGUACCCUCAGCCUGGUUGGCAAUCAGGCGUAGAGCGCAAAGGUAGAAGGGUGCUUAACUGUGAGACUUAUCAGUCGAACAGGUGCGAAAGCAGGUCUUAGUGAUCCGGUGAUCCCGUAUGGAAGGGUCAUCGCUCAUCAGAUAAAAGGUACUCCGGGGAUAACAGGCUUAUCGCUUCCGAGCGUCCAUAGCGGCGAAGCGGUUUGGCACCUCGAUGUCGGCUCAUCACAUCCUGGGGGUGAAGAAGCUCCCAAGGGUUUGGCUGUUCGCCAAUGAAAGUGGUACGUGAGCUGGGUUCAGACCGUCGUGAGACAGGUCGGUCCCUAUCUGCUGUGGGCGUUCGAAACUUGAGGAGGUUCUUCUUUAGUACGAGAGGAUUUGGAAGGACGAACCUCUGGUGUACCAGUUGUCACGCUAGUGGCACGGCUGGAUAGCUAAGUUCGGAAAGGAUAAACGCUGAAAGCAUCUAAGCGUGAAGCCCUCUCCAAGAUUAGGUUUCGUAUGUGCGUUAGCACGAGAGUCCCCUGGAAGACUACCAGGUUGAUAGGCCGGAUGUGUAAGCACGGUAACGUGUUCAGCUUACCGGUACUAACGGACGAAUGCUUGACCAC
rnacentral:rRNA from 1 species